AGGAGGACCCCACAGCCCAGCCUCACUGACUCCUCCCCCUGCUCCAAUCCCCUGCCCAGGCCCCACUGGUGAGCGCAUCAAAGGCUGAAGGUCAGAAAGCUGUGACAGAGCAACUUCUGGGGCAGUGAGCGGUGCAGAGAGGAGACAGCAGGUCUGAGAAGUGGGGCCCAAGCUGCUGAAUGAAUGUAGGGACAGUGGCGCUGGCAGAUCUGGGUUCGGGCUCUCACCCAGCAGGAGGAAACGCACAAGUUUGGGGGCCUCAGGGAACGCAGAACCAUAUGCCGUGGUUCCCCAUGGAGGACACCAGGCACACAGCAAAAAGUCAAUCAUGCGGCGAGAGCUGCAGGAGAGAGGGAUGAAGGGGACCUGCAGGUGCAGACGUGGAAGCCUGAGGGCCAGAUGUCCGCGAAUGCCCAUCACCCUGCAUGGCUCUCAUUUCUCAUCUGGGCUUGGUGAAGAAAGGAGGCUCUGCAGAUCUCAGGAUAAACUCCUCUGCGCAUGAAUGUCAUGGUUCAUACAGUUCUAAGGCAAACGUGGCUGCAUCCUGAUGCAACUGGGGCUCCGAAGUACCCCAAAGUAUGCACCUGAACACAGAGGGACUUGAGCUAAAAAAAAAAAAAAAAAGAUUGAGAGAGCUUCAGAAGAGCGUGGCUCUGACCCUCAUGAUGGAAGAGGAAAGUGUCAUACCUUUCCAGUCCUACACAGCCAUUAAUAUGCUUUAUUUUACAAAGCAUUAACAAAACCAUCUCUUCGGUGCCAAAUUCAGAGCUCCAGGUCCUGGAAGAAGCAAGUUGUGAUUCAUUUAGUAACCCCAUUGGUGUGCUUCAACAUUUGAAAUAAAAUGGGCAAAGUGCUUUUGUGUGCUAUAAAAGAAGCAACAGCUGGAGAGCAUAAAAAGGCUGCAUUGUAAAAUGCACUUCUAUUUAUAAUUAUUGGCAUUUGCGCCUUAAUGGAAAAUGAAAAUCCUAAGGCUUAAUAUACCGAAUUCCUCUCGAGAGAGAGCUAGUGGUAAAUCAAACCUACCUUGGCAACCUGACUCCAUUCUUGAACUGCCUGAGUUUCCAGUGGCCCUGAAAUCUUUGAGAUGAUUUGGACCUCAAGGGACUCUCCUUCUCUUUCUUAAUUAAGAAGUGACUCUUUGGCUCCCUCCUACAAGAAGCUUUUCCUGCCUGGUGCAGCCACCAGUGAUUUGCCUACCAGAGGGCUGUGCCUAUUUUUGCAAAAGGCAUGUUUUCAAAGGAUAAUUACAUUUUUUAUUGCCUGUUCCUCCAAAAACAAGUUACAAAGGGCAAGAUGCUACCCCCAUUUGAAAGACAAGGAAGCUGAGUCUGAGAGACAUUUAAGAGGCUUCUCCAAUAAGGCCACACAGUGUGAUAAUGGCCAGGGCAGAGCUUGAAGCAGGAGGACUAAUGUGGCCACACACCCUGUUUCUCACGGGUCAUCUCAGGACUGCUUCCUGUAGCCGUGUAAUUAUUAAUAGCACCCCGUGACAGCCUGCAAAGAGGCCCGGUUUGAACUGUAAAUAUAAAAGGUGAGAGGGCAAGGAAGAUAUAUAUAUGAGGAUUCCCUGGAAUUAGAGUACUGACAUGAACUCACAGUUCCUAAAAUGUAUGUGAGGGUUUGGACCUAAAAGGCUCCCCACAGCCACAUGUUGAAGCUUAUUUGCCAGUUGAUGGGUUGGGGGAAGGGAUUAGAUCGUAAGGACUCUAACUCAUCAAGAGGAUUAAUCCACUGAUGAGCUCAUUAGCUGAAUGGACUGUUAGGAAGUGGGGUGUAGUUGGAGGAAGUGCGUCAUGGGGUUGUAACCUUACAGAUUUUAUUCUGUCCAGCCCAUUCCUCUCUAGCUAGUGCUCUCUCUUCCUGCUCCCCCUGCUUCCUGCCUUCAAUAAGGUGAGCAGUUUUGCUCUGCCAUAUCCUUUUCAUCUACUUCUGCGUAGCAAUGGAGCCUGCCAGCCAUGGACUGAAACCCCUGAAACCAUGAACCAAAAUCAGUCUUUCCUCCUUUAAAUUGUCAUUCUAAAGUAUUCUAACACAGUGCCAAAAAGCUGAACGAUGCUGUGUGUGUGUGUGUGUGUGUGCACAUCCGUGAGUGUGUCUGCUGAACAUACCUAGAAGCAAGGACAGCCCAGAAGCAAUGCACAUAUCCAGCACCCAAAAACUUGCCCACUCCCCAAACAUUUCCCAUUAAAAGGAACCUGAGCUCUUUAGAGAAGUUGCUGACUUUGUGGCUGGAGCAGGGGAGGUAUAUAGAGUGCAUGAAACAUUUAGUUACACCAGAAAAUAGUACAAAAUUUCCUUUGGGAAUAUGUCAAAAGAAAUGAUUCCCACUGACUAAAUUUGGGACUUUUUGAGCAUCGAAAUUAUUAGAGAUGGUAGUGAAUUAUAAACUACCAGGAAGGUCAGGAAUCUGUGAGUCCAUGCUAUUGAAAGAUGAAGCUAACUAAAUAAAAGCAAAAAAUAAAGAACUGAGGGGAGUUCCUUAUGUACAGUAGACUGUAAACUACCAACUCACAAAACUAAAAGUGGUAGAUUUGUAACAUCAUCAUUUUAGUUCAAAGUGAAAAUAAACCAUUGCAUUAGUCACUUCCCCAUUCCUGAGACAUACUACAGGACACCCACAACUUAAGGGCAUACAAGCUUACUUGGCUCAGUUUUUAGUGGGUUCAGGCCAAAGCUGGCUUGCUCCAAAGAUACAGGAUGGCGGAAGGGCAUGGCAGAGGAAGCUAUGUAUCCCCGAGUAGCCAGGAAGCAGAGAGAAAGGAGGAGCCAGCAACAAGAAUGCAACUUUCACAUCAGAUCCCACUGACUCCCAAUCAAGCCCUGCCUCCUAACAGUUGGUAAAGAUCAGUUCAGGCAAAAGUAAUCAAAGAAAGCUAAGUACCAGGGUAGCUUGGGAUGAGUGAUUGGAUAUCUGUGAUCUAUCAAAAGACAAAAUUACAACAAUUUAUCUUAAAGGUGUUGAUAGGCACUGAUUGCGAUUCUAGACUCAGGAAACACUUUGUUCUAUAAAAUAGAAUCCGUUUUCCAAGGAACCAAGCAGAUGUAAGUUUUAUAGAAAGAAAGGGGAUGAAGAGAGAAGAGGCAAAGAUCAUAAAAUGGACUGGUCAUUUCAAAGUUGUUUUCCUUGUAAGGUGGAGAUGGGAGCAUAGAACAAUUUUUUAAAAAAUGAUUGCUUUACACAGGUUUUCUCCAUUCCCCUGUUUUUGUGUAAGGAUCAAGGCAAAGGGAAUGUCAUUACCAUCACAUGGAAAUUUUGCUUUUGUUUUUCUGAUUCCUCGGGUGGUCAAUAGAUUAACAAUUUCCAGGUGGCAUCGUAGAAAUCUACCAUUUGCAUUGGUGAGUGAUUCCAUUUUUAUCCUUAGCCUGGUCUGUUGGGGCCCAGUGUAGGUGCUUAGCCCAAAACAAUGGCUUCGUGGAAUUUUUAUUUUGUAGAUCUGUAAAUGUCUCCACACAAAAUGAUUUUUAAAUACAACAGAAAAAUAGCUCCUGCACCGUGGUGAACCCAAACCAUGCUUCAAUGAGGUGAUGAAAAUGAACACCUGUGAGGAGGUGCAGCUGGACAUCUCCAGGUGGGCUGACCUCAGAGGGAUACAACAUUGCCACAGGGCAAGCUGACAGCAGAUGCUGAGUCCAGCCUCAGCAGAGAAGCCCCAUGAGUGACCACGGUCUGGAAGGGAACUACUCAAGAACAUCAGGUGCCUUGAGGCAAGAGCAUUGCGGGUUAAAGGAGAGCCACCCUAGCAUGCACCUGUAACCCAGCUGCUGCAGAAGCCUAGUCAACUUAGCAAGGCCCUGUCUCACAAUAAAAUCUCAAAAAGGGGUGAGGAUGUUGCACCGUGGUAGAACACUUGCCUAGCAUGAGUGAGGCCCUGGAUUCCAUCCCCAUUGACAAAUUCAUUGGUAAAUGAAGGGGACUAAAGGGGAUUGGGAACUGACAGCUAAGCAUAAUCCUGGACAGGAUCCUGUGACAGAGGAAAAAGUGCUACAGAGAACUCUGCUGGGUCAGUGGACACAUUAAAAUGUUUGCUAAAAGUUUAGAUUCCAGUUAGAACACUAGAUUGCUGUGGAUAAAUUAUGUAGUCCCUCUGUGUGUCAGACAGGAUUCUCUGGAGAAACUGAUCCAACAAAGAGAAGGAAAGAGAGGGGAGAUUCAUUUUAAGGAGCUGACUUGUGUGAUAGGGAAAGCUUGGCAUUUCCAAAAGUAGGCAGACAGCUGGAAACCCAGAGCAGAAUGCAGUGCAAGCUCAAAGGCAGCCUGAGGCUGAAUUUCCACUUCUGGGGAGGUCAGUCUCUUCCAUGAAGGCCUUCAACUGAUUGAGGUCCACUCACUUUAGAGAAAGUAAUCUGGAUUCACUAAAAGUGUAUUGAUUUAAAUGUUAAACUCAUCUUUUAAAAUGCCUUCAGCCAGCUGUGGUAUUGUAUGUCUGUAAUCCCAGCACUCUGGGAGGCUGAGGCAUGAGGAUUACAAAUUUGACACCAGCCUGUGCAAGCUGGCUACCUAGUGAGACACUGUCUCAAAAAAUAAAAAAGGACUAAGGAUGUAGCUCGGUGUAAAGACCCUGGGUUCAAUCCCCAGUACCACCCCCCCAAAAAAAAAUCCUUCACAGAAAAUAUCAGUACUAAUGUUGGAUCCAGUAACUGUAUGCUAUGGGCCAGAUAAACAGACACAUAAAAUUAACCAAAACACCAUAUGUUGAACCAAAGUAGAAGAGAUGGAAUUCUCUGGGCUUUCCUGUCCACAAUCUUUAGUGGACAAGUCAUUAAAAAUUACUUCCUGGGACUGGGAGCCGCCAUCACUCCAGCACCAGGAGGGCUGCCUGGGCCCUGAUCCACCGUGGGAAAGAUAGCCAUGCCU